rnacentral:rRNA from 1 species
ACGGGAGGCAGCAGUAGGGAAUAUUGCACAAUGGGGGAAACCCUGAUGCAGCAACGCCACGUGUGGGAAGAAGCAUUUCGGUGUGUAAACCACUGUCGUGAAGGAAUAAGGCUUAUUUUCGGAUAAGUUGAAUGUACUUUGAAAGGAAGCACCGGCAAACUUCGUGCCAGCAGCCGCGGUAAUACGAGGGGUGCAAGCGUUGUUCGGAAUCACUGGGCGUAAAGGGAGCGUAGGCGGAGAAGCAAGCGGUCUGUACAAGACCGGGGCCCAACCCCGGACCUGCAGACCGGACUGCUCCUCUUGGAUAGUUCAGGGGCAGGCGGAAUUCCUGGUGUAGCGGUGGAAUGCGUAGAGAUCAGGAAGAACACCGAUGGCGAAGGCAGCCUGCUGGGGACUCAUCGACGCUGAGGCUCGAAAGUGCGGGUAGCAAACAGGAUUAGAUACCCUGGUA